UGGGGUAUCGUCUAAUGGUAGGACAUCAGGUUUUGGUCCUGAGUAUCGAGGUUCGAGUCCUUGUACCCCAGCAA
rnacentral:tRNA from 1 species